AGGCCUAACACAUGCAAGUCGAGCGGAUGAAGGGAGCUUGCUCCCUGAUUUAGCGGCGGACGGGUGAGUAAUGCCUAGGAAUCUGCCUGGUAGUGGGGGAUAACGUUCCGAAAGGAACGCUAAUACCGCAUACGUCCUACGGGAGAAAGCAGGGGACCUUCGGGCCUUGCGCUAUCAGAUGAGCCUAGGUCGGAUUAGCUAGUUGGUGAGGUAAUGGCUCACCAAGGCGACGAUCCGUAACUGGUCUGAGAGGAUGAUCAGUCACACUGGAACUGAGACACGGUCCAGACUCCUACGGGAGGCAGCAGUGGGGAAUAUUGGACAAUGGGCGAAAGCCUGAUCCAGCCAUGCCGCGUGUGUGAAGAAGGUCUUCGGAUUGUAAAGCACUUUAAGUUGGGAGGAAGGGCAGUAAGCUAAUACCUUGCUGUUUUGACGUUACCGACAGAAUAAGCACCGGCUAACUUCGUGCCAGCAGCCGCGGUAAUACGAAGGGUGCAAGCGUUAAUCGGAAUUACUGGGCGUAAAGCGCGCGUAGGUGGUUCGUUAAGUUGGAUGUGAAAGCCCCGGGCUCAACCUGGGAACUGCAUCCAAAACUGGCGAGCUAGAGUACGGUAGAGGGUGGUGGAAUUUCCUGUGUAGCGGUGAAAUGCGUAGAUAUAGGAAGGAACACCAGUGGCGAAGGCGACCACCUGGACUGAUACUGACACUGAGGCGCGAAAGUGUGGGGAGCAAACAGGAUUAGAUACCCUGGUAGUCC
rnacentral:rRNA from 1 species